CCUAGGCCUUGUCCAUUAGCCAAGCCCCCGCUCUCUGUGCCCCUACCACAGGCCAAGCCCUGCCUACCCUGAGAGCCAGGGGCCAGGACAUCUGGAUCCAAAGGAAGCAAAGCCUGGAGAGUUCACUCUGAAAGCCUGGGACAUGCUCAGGAAUAAGGUGUGAAACUCCAGAACUCAGUGACCGAAGCGGGGCUUGGUGUCUCAGCUGAACACAGACCAUCUCAGGCCAGAGAGGAGCUCUGGGGGCUCCUUAAACCCGGCUGGGAUUCCAGGAGGGGGUCUAGCACCAGCCAGGCAGCCCUUCGGAGUCUGAUUUGAAGAUUUUUCCGAGACUCAUGGCCACCAGAGGGCACCACCACCCCACAGUGUGGCAUCUUGGGCUCUCCAUCACCUCCCUGGAGAAACUGGGAAGAUUGGGAGGAGGAAGCAGGCGCGGGUCUCUGAGCUCUCAGCGGGAGCUGCCAGCAGCUGAGUUAAAUAGUCUCCAGAGUCAGGAGACCUGGGCUCUAGUGGGUUCUAGUGCCUGUUCUGCCACCGUCUUUCCCUCCCUGGUUGGCUUCAGUUCGCCUCCUCCGUUGAAUAAGGACUUGGACCACUUGGUGUCCUUUCCGGCCCACGGGGCCCUUCCCGGCUCUGAAGCUCUAGGCUUUGAGGAAAUCAUGCAAUGAACGUGACAGAAAUUGCAUCUCCUGGGCCCACCUUUACUCUGGGGUUCUCUAGGGUGCCCUGCCUGGCAGGAGGCGGAAACUGAUGUAAGCGUCACUUCUCUGGUGCUGUUGUCUGACUUGGAUGUCGGGAGGCGGACUGGCCUGGAGACUGAUGGGCAGUCUCUGUCUCCACGUCAGUCUGAAGGAGGAAUGUCUCAACAGAGCUGGCAGACACAGGUGCUGUGACACCCGUGGUGUCUGCUCCUCCAGGUUUCAGGCGAGGAGGUGUCCCUUAGGCCAUGCAUCUAACACAGCACCGGUGCGUGUAUCACUCCCUACCUGACCAAGAGCCUCUGUAACCUGGCCUGGAGCAGGGCUUCAACAUAGGGUGAAUGAAGAACAGCGGAAGACAGCAUCACACAGUGGUUAGAUUGCAAGCUCUGCAACCAGGCUGCCCAGGUUCGAAUCAGCUCUGCCACUGAGUGACCUAAAGC